UAUGGAGUAUUAGAUAUUUACCUAAUUAAACUCGAUCAUACAGAGUAAGAACAAAAUAAAAUCGAAAUAAACACCGAGAUACUACAAUGAUCACAUCGUAUUAUAUGACUUAACAGCGACAUCUGUAAGAAGGAUAUGCCUCAAUGACAACAAAGAAUUGCGAAAUAAUGCUGACUAAGCAUACACAGUAAACCAAUAUGGCGUGCCCAGCAACGGGCUUCUGGCUGCGAGAAUCAAUACCGUAUUUAACGGAUUUUUAUGUUGAAAGCGAUUGUUAGUGGCUAUUAGAGUAGUGCAGAAUAAUUAUGGGUUCUGCAGUAUUCGUGGCAUAUAGGUUGGGCGGAAAAUAUUAAAACAAGAACAGUACACAGCGAGCACACAACUUGACGAACAUGGAUGGGAAAAGCAGCACCACAGGGAUAGAAUUUACUCUCAACUGAAGAACUGCACAAGAUUUGUCGCUGUCGAGAAGAUUGGUAUCAUCAGCAAACAAUUUGGUAAAGAAGGAGGAACAACAAGUUAUGUCAUUUACAUAGACUAGAAAUAGAAGAGGACCCAAGCAACUACCUUGAGGAACUCCGUGAGUCACUGAUUUGAAAAGAGGGAUCACUCGGGCAAUUUUGAGACAUGCAGGGAAGAUUCCAAACAAAAGUGAACAAUUGAAGAAUUCAGCCAAACAUGGUGCAAUGAGAUCAGCAACUAAUUUAAGGAAACGUGCUGGAGCGUUCGGAAGUGUUCCCUUUCAAAAAGUGGGAUUCAAACAUCUUAUUUUUGUGGCGAAUAGAAGCAAGCAGCCCUUUGGUUAGCCAUGGUUUUGAUCGUAGCCUUUUUUGACGACGUGAGAGUGGUCGAAGCGGGGCGUGGCGAUCAAUCAGGGAUCGAAUGUUCACAUGGAAAAUACAAAAGUCAGACACUGAUUGAGAAGAAUUUAAAUCAACAACUCCUACAUUAUUGCACGUUUCAAUGUCACAGGAAUAAGCUAAUUGAGGGUCGUUUGCUAAAGCCAUGUAUGAAAUAUUCAUCCAGAGAUGAUAGAGAUUCUGCUGGGGUGGUUGA